AGCUGGAGUUGGGGCUAAAGGGAAAGGGAGGGAGGCCGAAACCGCUACGGUAGCCAAUCGGCACUCACUGCCGUCCAAUCGCAAGACCUAGCUGCACUGUGAUUGGCCCUCAGGCUCCGCCGGCGGUCCCCGGAGUCCCGAGCAGCUCGACCGGGGCCGCGGCGGACGGUGAGACGGGCUCGCCUGCGGCUGCAGCUAGACUUGGGGCCGCGGCGGACGGUGUGACGGGCUCGCCUGCGGCCGCUCCCACACCGUAUGGAAACCACAAAGAGGGAGUGCGGGCUCUCCGCACUGCCGGUCCGAAACUGUUGUGGUCGGCGGGGCCGGGCUCGGAGUGCUCAGGCGAGCGGAGGGUUUAGGGCCCCUCCCCACGCACUGGAGGCUCCCGGCUGGGCGCGGCUAAUUCUGCGCGCCCGAGACUUCCCUCCGCCUGGGAUAGUGCGUCCCGAGGGCCAGUGUCUUCCCUGAGAAGUCCAGAUCAAUGCUAGAAUGCCUCCCCGGCCGGGAGCGAGUUCUCGGACGCUAAAGGGGGAACAAAGCUUUCCGAAAGGCAGCAGCGCCCCUGGGCGGCCGCGCCCCGCCCUCCCCGCCGCGGGGGCCAUUGAUUAGACGGAGGCCGGGCGCGCGCGGCCGGGCGGGCCUUCGGGGAACGCCCCUGAGAAAUGAGCUCAUGCUGCACGCGCGCGCUCCUAGGGCACUGCCGCCGGGCGCUAAACGGGCCCCGAAAUCAGGUGAAUAGAGGACACUUCAAUCUAAAGUGGAUCUUAAAGAAGUAGUAGGAUUUGGAGAUGAAGUUAGGACAGAGGAGGAAAUACAACGUAAUUUUGCAGUAUUUGAGACUCCAGAAAACACAUAAGCAUUUUGAUUCCUUGAGGGCCAUGAUGGAGAUCAUGAAAAUUUCCAGUAGAAGGUGGAGGUGACCUGGCUUACUGGGGCUGGAUCAACUAGAAGUGUUUAAAGACAAAACAUCUCAACAGCUGACAUCCGUGUGGCUGCAGCUAAGACUUGGUUUUGAGCCCAUGUAAAACACUGUCUAAAGAAUCUUAGAAAUAAUGGAACCUUGCAAGGAGCUGGAGGUCCUGCAACAGCAAGCAGGCAAAGGCAGGAGGCAUUGGAAUGUGGGUUAUUAAACCAUUUUUAAUAAAUUGAUAAUUAUGGCUUUUAGUUCAUAAAGAAUAAAAUGUAAGAAUUGAA